UUGCUAAGAUGAAUAUGAUUCCAAAGCCAUUCGUAGUUUCCACCAGAAGUCGUUAAGACUCGUGAUGGCUGUACCUUCCUUGGAUGUCUGAGCGA
rnacentral:snoRNA from 1 species